UACGUAGGGUGCGAGCGUUAAUCGGAAUUACUGGGCGUAAAGCGUGCGCAGGCGGUUCGUUGUGUCCGAUGUGAAAGCCCCGGGCUUAACCUGGGAAUGGCAUUGGAAACUGGCGAGCUUGAGUGCGGCAGAGGGGGUGGAAUUCCGCGUGUAGCAGUGAAAUGCGUAGAUAUGCGGAGGAACACCGAUGGCGAAGGCAAUCCCCUGGGCCUGCACUGACGCUCAUGCACGAAAGCGUGGGGAGCAAACAGG
rnacentral:rRNA from 1 species